UAGUGUUACAGCUCUUUUUAGAACUUGUCUAGCAAGUUUUCCUGUUUUUACUGAAAACCUUCC
rnacentral:snRNA from 2 species